rnacentral:rRNA from 1 species
CCCUUAGAUGUUCUGGGCCGCACGCGCGCUACACUGAUGCAUUCAACGAGUUCUUACCUUGGCCGAGAGGCCUGGGCAAUCUUUUGAACGUGCAUCGUGAUAGGGAUAGAUUAUUGCAAUUAUUAAUCUUGAACGAGGAAUUCCUAGUAAACGCUGGUCAUCAACCAGCAUUGAUUACGUCCCUGCCCUUUGUACACACCGCCCGUCGCACCUACCGAUUGAAUGUUUCGGUGAAGAUUCCGGAUAGGACUUUUUUGAUUUAUUUCAAUUUUGUCUUAAAAGCUAUCUAAACCUCAACAUUUAGAGGAAGGUGAAGUCGUAACA